rnacentral:rRNA from 1 species
CCUACGGGGUGCAGCAGUGAGGAAUAUUGGUCAAUGGUCGCGAGCCUGAACCAGCCAAGCCGCGUGAGGGAUGAAGGUACUACGGGUCGUAAACCUCUUUUGUCAGGGAACAAAGGCGUGAACGUGUGCCUGUAUGAGUGUACUUUAUGAAUAAGGAUCGGCUAACUCCGUGCCAGCAGUCGCGGUAAUACGGAGGAUGCGAGCGUUAUCCGGAUUUAUUGGGUUUAAAGGGUGCGUAGAUGGGUUGUUAAGUCAGUUGUUAAAGUUUGCGGCUCAACCGCAAGCUAACAGUUGAUACUGGCAGUCUUGAGUUGAGGAGAGGUAGGCGGAAUUCGCGGUGUAGCGGUGAAAUGCAUAGAUAUCGCGAAGAACUCCGAUUGCGAAGGCAGCAUGC